AAACAGAUAGGUUUGGCCCUGGCCAUUUUAUUAGCUCUUAGUAAGAUUAUACAUGCAAGCAUACCUGCCCCAGUGAAAAUGCCAUCAGAGCAGGUAUGAAGCAUAAAUACAGCUCAAAACACUUUAACCACACCCCCACAGGAAACAGCAAUGAUAAAUCUUUAUUGAUAAACAAAAGUUUAGGCUAUACUAAUAGUUAGGGUUGGUCAAUUUCGUGCCAGCCACCACACGAUUAACCUGAGUUAAUGGAACUCAGCGUAAAGUGUUUAAGGUCUGCCCUCAGUAAAGCUAAAAACCCCAUCUAAGUUGUAAAAAACUCCAGUUGAAAUAAAAUAUACUACAAAAGUGGCUUUAAGACCCUGAAAACACAAUAGCUAAAACCGAAACUGGGAUUAGAUACCCCACUAUGCUUAGCCCUCAACUCUAAGAGUUACAUGAACAAAACCAUUUGCCUGAGUACUUAAGCAACAGCUUAAAACUCAGUUUAAAACUCAAAGGACUUGGCAGUGCUUUAUAUCCCUCUAGAUAUCCCUCUAGAGGAGCCUGUUCUAUAAUUGAUGAACCCCAAUACACCUCACCACCUCUUGCCCCCAGCCUAUAUACCGCCAUCUUCAGCAAACCCCCAAAAAGUUUAUUGAGUAAGCACAAGUACAUACAUAAAAACGUUAGGUCAAGGUGUAGCCCAUGAGAUGGCAAGAAAUGGGAUACAUUUUCUAUGUCUAGAAAAUCUCACAAAAACGUUUAUGAAAUCUAAGGGCUCAGGAGGAUUUAGCAAUAAACCAAGAGCAGAGUGCUUGGUUGAAUAAGGCUAUGAAGCAUGCACACACCGCCCAUCACCCUCCUCAAAUAUUCCUCUAGAAAUCACUAUUACUAAUAAUUUUCUAUGCAUGUGUAAAGGAGAUAAGUCAUAACAUGUUAAGUGUACUAGUAAGUGGGCUUGGACAAACCGAAGU
rnacentral:ncRNA from 1 species